AUUGCACGGACGGAGGAGUAUGAAAUUUCGUGUAUUGUUUAUAUAGAGAAGAGGUUCGAUUGCGCGGACGCGUUCGUAUGCCGCGCACGCGACCCCCCGGCUGACCGCUGCCUCGCUCAGGAAUUUUAACAGUUCAAAACAUUCUAAACCGAUGUACAGUCUCAGCAGUAAUAAAAUGACAGUAAAACAAACAACGGGAGAUUGUAGCAAAAUAAGAACCCCGUUUUUAGUCCUUCGUGCCGGAUUUUGUGAAGCAGUUUAUAUAAUUGCUCGAAUUAUUUAUAUUAUUUCUUCCCGUAUUAUUUAAAUAAAUAUAUUUGUUAUAUUUUAUAACUGAGAAGCAAAAUAAAGUAAUUUAAAUUA